AGAGUUUGAUCCUGGCUCAGGAUUAAUGCUAGCUGUGCGCCUAACACAUGCAAGUCGAACGAGAUCACGCAGUAAGCUUGCUUAUAGCGUGUGACAGUGGCAGACGGGUGAGUAACACGUCGGAAUCUGCCCCUUAUUCAGGGAUAAGCUCGAGAAAUCGGGUCUAAUACCGGAUGGUCCCGCAAGGGUAAAGCUUCGGCGAUAAGGGAAGAGCCUGCGUCCUAUCAGCUUGUUGGCGGGGUAAUAGCCCACCAAGGCAAUGACGGGUAGCUGGUCUGAGAGGACGACCAGUCACAAUGGAACUGAGACACGGUCCAUACUCCUACGGGAGGCAGCAGUGAGGAAUUUUCCGCAAUGGCCUAUUGGCUGACGGAGCGACACAGUGUGAAGGAUGAAGGUUUUCGGAUCGUAAACUUCUUUUCUGAGGGAAUAAAGUUUGAAGUUACCUCAGGAAUAAGCACCGGCUAACUACGUGCCAGCAGCCACGGUAAUACGUAGGGUGCAAGCAUUAUCCGGAAUUAUUGGGCGUAAAGCGUUUGUAGGCGGUAAGUUAAGUAGGAGGUUAAAUCUCUGGGCCCAACCCAGAAACCAUCUCCUAAACUGGCUGACUAGAGGUAUGUAGAGGCAAGUGGAAUUUCCGGUGUAGGGGUAAAAUCCGUUGAGAUCGGAAGGAACGCCAAAAGCGAAGGCAGCUUGCUGGACAUACCUGACGCUGAGAAACGAAAGCGUGGGGAGCAAACAGGAUUAGAUACCCUGGUAGUCCACGCCGUAAACUAUGAAUACUCGGUGUUAGAGGAUCGAUCCCUCUAGUGCCUUAGCUAACGCGUUAAGUAUUCCGCCUGAGGAGUACGGUCGCAAGAUUAAAACUCAAAGGAAUAGACGGGGACCCACACAAGCGGUGGAGCAUGUUGUUUAAUUCGACACAAAACGAGGAACCUUACCAAGGCUUGACAUCCCGAGAAUCCGCCGGAAACGGUGGAGUGCCGCAAGGAGCUCGGUGACAGGCGCUGCAUGGUUGUCGUCAGCUCGUGCCUUGAGGUGUUCGGUUAGGUCCGUGAACGAGCGCAACCCUCGUCCUAUGUUAUAUAUUUCAUAGGAGACUGCCCUGGUUAACAGGGAGGAAGGUGAGGAUGACGUCAAAUCAGCAUGGCCCUUAUGCCUUGGGCUACUAACGUGCUACAAUGGGGUAUACAAUGGGUAGCAAAACCGUAAGGUGAAGCCAAUCCCAUCAAAGUACCUCCAAGUUCGGAUUGAGGGCUGCAACUCGACCUCAUGAAGCUGGAAUCGCUAGUAAUCGUGAAUCAGAUAUGUCACGGUGAAUAUGUUCCUGGGUCUUGUACUCACCGCCCGUCACAUCAUGGAAGCUAGGGGUGUCCGAAGUCUCUCGAUUAAUCAGAGGGCCUAAGGCAAAACUAGUGACUGGGAUGAAGU
rnacentral:rRNA from 1 species